rnacentral:misc_RNA from 1 species
CAUUCUUCAAGCUGGUGUUCAUGUAGUAGUUGGAACACCUGGUCGUGUGUUUGACAUGUUAAGGAGGCAGUCUCUUCGCCCAGAUUGUAUUAAGAUGUUUGUAUUGGAUGAAGCUGAUGAAAUGCUUUCUCGAGGUUUCAAAGAUCAGAUCUAUGACAUUUUCCAGCUGUUGCCGUCAAAAAUUCAAGUUGGGGUAUUCUCCGCCACAAUGCCACCAGAAGCUUUGGAGAUCACGAGGAAAUUCAUGAACAAGCCUGUCAGAAUCUUGGUAAAACGUGAUGAGCUUACUUUGGAGGGUAUCAAACAAUUUUACGUAAAUGUCGAUAAGGAAGAUUGGAAGCUCGAAACUCUAUGUGAUCUCUACGAGACUCUGGCUAUCACUCAAAGUGUUAUUUUUGUUAACACACGUCGCAAGGUCGAUUGGCUUACAGACAAGAUGAGAAGCCGAGACCAUACCGUAUCAGCCACCCAUGGUGACAUGGACCAG